UUGUGAGAGAUGAAUUGAGAGGCAUUCUGUAGUGAAACCCUGGAAGGGGUAUUUGAGGUGGGAAAUCACAUGCAACUUUCUAGGUGCAGGCACUUCAAAAGAUCCAGCUUAAUGGGGGAGAGUACUUUGAAACUAAUUCAGAAGUUUCAUAUAUAGUCAAGUAAUUUAAUUCCAAUGUAAGCAUAAAGGCUGUAAUUGUGUCUUUCCUUUUAUAUUUCAAUUUUUGCUCCAGGGUUUUGCUAGAAUGGCAUCAGAGAUAGGGUGUGAGAAAAGUCAAGACUGGGGAUCUGCUGGUUUUGGAGGUGUAUUUAAGGUGGAGUGGAUCCGAAAAGAAAGCAUUCCUUUCCAGUUUGCACACCAUUUGCUCAACCCUUGGAAUGAUAAUAAGAAAGUACAAAUAAGCAGGGAUGGCCAGGAACUGGAGCCACAGGUUGGAGAGCAGUUGCUACAGCUUUGGGACAGUAUUCCUUUGAAUAGGAAUAAAGGAAAAAACUCAACUGAUUGAGCACGUCAAGUAAUGUGAUAGAGCUGUCGUGGUUGAAACAUCAGAUAUAACUACUAGAACCAGUAGCAAGCCUGCAGUAUGAAGAUGAGGAAGAAGGUGGCACAACAAGCUCCAGAAGUUGUUAGUCAUGCUGUGAAGCUAGUAGAGGAAAAAUAAGGGGAAUUAUGUUGGUUUCAGUAUUUCCUUGUCUUAACAAAUGUCCUGAUGUUAUUCACCAGCCUAGUUUUGACUGAAUUAGUUUUUUUAUAGUAGCAUGCAAUUGAUAUUUAAAAACACAUUUAAAUUCCAAACUGAGUUUGAAACAGUGGACCACAUGGAAGUUGUCUGUGGGUUUAAAAUAGCACAGCAGACAGUUUAAAUAUACAGUUUACAUUUAAAGCUUUCUCAACACAAUAAAAUCUGUGAGAGAAACUAGUGUAAUGUGAAUUAAUCAAUCUUGCAGUUUGCUUAAAAUAAAUAAAUUGAGAAUACA